ACAUUGCUAAGAAACUCAAAAUUCUAAGUUAGUACUCCAGUUUGCUAGCGCCGAUUUUGGUCGUUUUUUUUUUUUCCUAUCGACAGUAUUCGGACACAUCUAGCGAUCAAGAUUCAGGUAAAAAUCGGCCGGAUUUCUCCUUUAAGUCCUCGUAAACAGGACAAUAAAACAAAAAAGAAACCUCAUCCUCAGUUUCAGCUAACUCACACUUUGACCCUGCAGCCAGUAGUUUAACAACAAGGGCUGACACACUUCUUUUGCUGCCUGAGCAGGAGCUUUUAUUUAAUGUAGCAUGAAAACGGAAUUGAACUGAACAACCUGUCACUGUGCAUAUUCACCUGGAAUCCUACCUCCUGGCUGUACUCACGUAACCUGUCUUCCAGCUGUUCCCCAAAGAGAGGCGAAGUCCCUCCCCUUCAGGUGGAGCCACCGUCAGCCCCGACAAAACGUAGCAACACGUUUAAUUUAAAACUAAAACGGGGGUGCGUUAAACACCCUGGGUGCGCUUUGCCUUUUUAUUACGAGUUUAAAGACCCGUCUCUGUUGAUUGGGUAUCACCAAAACGAGAGACACACCCACCAAACGAGAGAAAACGUAUCUCUAAGCCGUUUCACACCAUUCCAAGGAAACAUGUCGUAGCAACACGGUGCACACUGUUUUGAGAUGGAACGUGCCCCUUAUUUCAUGAAGAAUAUGUGCAGUCAGUGAACGAGGAGUCAAAUCUUUUUUUAUUUGAUUCCGUUGAAUUGAGCCAUAAAUUACACAUAUGAUGUUUUGUCAAUUUUAAAAGCUCAUUUAGCAAGUCAAGAAAGUCUAGUUUGUCGUUAAACUGUUGAAGUAUUAUACUGUGAAAAUAGAAAUUAGAAAGACUACUCACCCUCAAGUCGCAUAAGUGACGUCUCUCUGAAACUGCGAUGCCUGAGUGUUUCGUACCAGGAUGUAACGUUACUUACACGAGCUACGGAUCUUGCACGUUCUUUCGCUUCUCGGCCAAUAAAACACAUCAGGUGAGAUAACUUUACAUGUGUUGUGGAACGUAGCUAAGCUAGCUAGCUAGCUAGCGAGCAAGCAGAGCACCAAGCAAGGUGACGUAAAUUGUGCGAGAUGAAAUACAGCACUGUAUGUAGUUGACUGAGCGGUUUCACACAAAAUUAAGUGGCACUACGACAAACCUGCGGCAAACUGAGACUUUCUUCAGUUCCAAAAUUAUUUUUUAAGGGGACGAACAUGUAUAAUGGUUACUGGUAACCAUGUGUAAUUCAUGGCUCAAUUUAAACAGGAUAAAAAAAAUAAUAUUUGUCUCUCCCCGUUCACUACUGAGCAUAUUUUUUUCUCCAAAAUAAAGUCCCAUGAGGUCCACCAGAAGAGGGAGGAACUUCGCGGCUCUAUUUCACCACAUUUGCCCUACAAGCCUUAUGAUGUAAUAUUAUUCAACUAUGUAUUAAUGUUUAAACACCAGUUUUGUGCAUGAAAAUUGUUGCUGUGUGUCUAAAGCUGAGUAACCAUGCUGUAGAUCUCUGACCACCCACUGUAGAUGUUACCUCACACAUCAGCAUUUCUUUCGAAAAGAAGGAAUGCUGUGCAGAAACAAGACAGGAGAUAAACAAUAUGAAACAACUAUUUCUGUGGAAGUAGUUAGAAGCUAAUGAGCGUCACGGUGUGUGUCUUAACACAGUGUGACUGGUGUUAGUUGUUCUGUCUUUAACCCUUGUGUAUUAAAAUCCUUCUUGAUCACAACA